CAUCUUCAUCAUCAACAUUUCAUUGGAUUUAAAGGAAAGAAGAAGAGAAAACAGAGAAUGAAGGAAUAUGGAUUAUCUGGUUUUGGAUGAACUUGAAGAUGAGAAAAGGAAGAAAGUGUCAAAGACCCAUUUGAAAAUAGCAAAGGAUAGUUGGUAGAGCUUAAGAGUGGAAAUAACUUGAUAUUGGGGGUUAGGUAAGAAAUCAUACAUUCUUACAGUUUAUUUUACUAAAAUGUGAUUAUGUUGAUAAAAUGGUUUUAUUAAAAUGUAUUUCUAAACUUAUGGAUCAAGUUGACAUGGAAAUGUUUUGAUAAAAUGUUUAAUAAAAGGAUUUGAUAAAACGUUUGACAAAAAUGACUUGAUAAUGUGAUUUAUAAAAUGAUUUGCGAAACUAGUUGAUAAAGUAUUUUUGAUAAGCCUAUGCUAAAUACUUUGUGAAAGACUGAUACAUAUGUAUAGAUUUGAUUAUGUGAAUAAUACAAGAAUGAUUUUAUUACUCUGGAUAGGAUUUUGUACUUAUUUAUUUGAUAAUGGUUAUUAAUGCCUCGAGUGUUUAUACCGGUAAUGAGUCAACGCGUGACAGUCACGUCCGGUUGAUGGUUAAUGAGUCAAUGCAGGACCCCCAGAUCCUGAUUGAUGGCUAAUGAGUCAAUGUAGGACCCCCAAAUCCUCGUUGAUGGUUAAUGAGUCAACGCAGGACAUUAAAGUCUUGGUUGAUGGUAAUGAGUUAUCAUAAUAAUGUAGUCAUUAUCACUAUCCCAGAGUUAUAUAGAAAAAGGUAUAUUGGUUAUAAACAGUACGUAUUAUAUUUUUUUUAGAAAGGUUUGAUCUUUCUAUACUUAUAUUAAAUGUCUCUUGAUCCAACUGUAAUGAGAUUAUGAUUUUCUUACUGGGCAAGUUUAGCUCACCCAUUUUAAUGGGUCCCCUUUUUAGAGAAG